rnacentral:rRNA from 1 species
AGAGGGUGCAAGCGUUAAUCGGAAUUACUGGGCGUAAAGCGUACGUAGGUGGGUAUUUAAGUCGGAUGUGAAAGCCCUGGGCUCAACCUGGGAAUUGCAUUCGAUACUGGGUACCUAGAGUAUGGUAGAGGAAAGUGGAAUUCCCGGUGUAGCGGUGAAAUGCGUAGAUAUCGGGAGGAACAUCAGUGGCGAAGGCGGCUUUCUGGACCAAUACUGACACUGAGGUACGAAAGCGUGGGGAGCAAACAGGAUUAGAGACCCUGGUAGUCCACGCUGUAAACGAUGAGAACUAGAUGUUGGGGGGGCGUGACCCCCCUUAGUAUCGAAGCUAACGCGUUAAGUUCUCCGCCUGGGGAGUACGGCCGCAAGGUUA